CUGUUACAUUUAUAUUUAAAAUAAAAGAAAGGUACUGAAGUGUUUAAUGAAAGGUCAGCUUAAGCAUCCUCAUCAUGCAUGUAUGCAUUCAGUAGAGCAACCCUACCUGCAUCAUUAAUUUAAGUAUUAACCAUAUAAUAGUUUUUGUUACUGAGAUAUGGACUUACACAACUUUUCUUAAUGUGCACUGAUGUACAAUGUAGAAGGAAGUCACUGGAGUCUAAAAUGUAAGUCAAAUUCAGCAUCUACACACAUUAAUCAGUGUCCCUAUAGCUGUGUCAUUGAUGCCAUCAUUAUGCAUGUAUUACCUAGAUGUACCCAGAAAUGGACCCAACACUUUUUCUUAAUGGGAAUGGAGGGCGAGAACGAAUCCAUUUAUUCAUCCUCUGCAAACUUCGUUGAGUAGGGGCUGGGAAUAAAAAAUGUAACUUGUGAGCAGAGACGUAUACGUUUCUGUUGUGAGGCAAACAUACAAAGAUGAAGAUAAAUAACAACAUACAUAUUUACAUCAGUCAAUGAUUUAAUUUCAUAAAAAAAUAUCAAUAUGCAUAAAAGUUAACAAAACAAUCACUACAACAAAGUUAUCAACAAGUAUGCUGUCAUUACAUAUAUCUACAUACAUGUACAUAUAUUUGAUGGAACAAUUUAAAACAUUUUUUUUUAAAACAAAGCAAUGCAAAGGAAUACUGAAUAAAAUAUAAUCAUCAUGAAAUAUCAUGACUCAAGACCAGUUUUUAAGAAACUGAUGCCUGUUUUGGACACCUGUGACCUUGAAAGAAGGUCAAGGUAAUCUACAUGAUGAAACUUUAAAGUAUUUAUCCCAGACAGACUUAUGACAGACACUUCACUAUACCAUAAGAUUAUGACAGUUUGUACCAGAGGAGCUUAAAAGUGUAUCUGAAGUUCAUGAACCAUGAUAUUUGUCUUUCCUUCAUUCUGACUGUAU